UACAGAGGAGCCAAGCGUUGUCCGGAUUGCCUGGGCGUAAAGCGCACGCAGGCGGACGCGCGCGUGGGGUGUGAAAUCUGGCCGCUUAACGGCCAGGCGCCAUCCCAUACGGCGCGACUGGAGUGAUGCAGAGGUCGAUGGAAUUGCCGGUGUAGUGGUGAAAUGCGUAGAGAUCGGCAGGAACACCCAGGGGGAAACCAGUCGACUGGGCAGCACCUGACGCUGAGGUGCGAGAGCGUGGGGAGCGAACCGG
rnacentral:rRNA from 1 species